AUUGAACGCUGGCGGCAUGCCUUACGCAUGCAAGUCGAACGGCAGCACGGGAGCAAUCCUGGUGGCGAGUGGCGAACGGGUGAGUAAAGUAUCGGAACGUGCCCAGUCGUGGGGGAUAACGUAGCGAAAGUUACGCUAAUACCGCAUACGAUCUAUGGAUGAAAGCGGGGGAUCGCAAGACCUCGCGCGAUUGGAGCGGCCGAUAUCAGAUUAGGUAGUUGGGGGGGUAAAGGCUCACCAAGCCGACGAUCUGUAGCUGGUCUGAGAGGACGACCAGCCACACUGGGACUGAGACACGGCCCAGACUCCUACGGGAGGCAGCAGUGGGGAAUUUUGGACAAGGGGCGAAAGCCUGAUUCAGCCAUGCCGCGUGCAGGAUGAAGGCCUUCGGGUUGUAAACUGCUUUUGUACGGAACGAAAAGGUUUGGCCUAAUAAGCUGAGCUCAUGACGGUACCGUAAGAAUAAGCACCGGCUAACUACGUGCCAGCCGCCGCCGUAA
rnacentral:rRNA from 1 species